ACUGACUCGGGAUUGGGUUAUUUUGCAGAACAUGAUUCAGGUGGACAAUUAAAUAUAUAAUAUUGUGGAAAUGUAGCCAUUGGGAUGACUUACAUCAAAUUGUAAAAUAUUAAAUCAUACUCAAAACCUAAGGUAGAGAAUCCAUUUAAAUUUUGAGUCAAAUGGUUAUUGGAGAGUCACUUUCAUCCCUGUAUUGUGCAAAUAUAUACUUGACUAGAUCAACCUGUCUAGAUAAAUUUUUUUACUAUGUCUAACCGUUGCUUGGGUUAUUGAUGGUGACUGCUUCCGACCACCAAAAACCAUCUCUGAACCGACAUGUAACUUUACAGAACUUAUACUUAAAGAUCCAUUGGGACAAAAGAGGAGUCCAGAAAAAAUUUAUCAAAGCGCUUUGAGAUCGGUGGCGGAAACAACGGGGGAGUAGGUAAUCAUGGAGCCAAUUACAGGAGUUUUACCAGGAUGAUCUAAACUAAGAGAAAAUUUAAGUCAUCUAAUGAUGCCUUACAUCUCAUUGUGUACCUGUUUCUGUUGUAAAGAUCCUAUUGUCCCAUGCUCUUGCAAAUAUGUAGAUAAUAUGUCCAUUUGUUGUGAAAUGGACCGUGAACAUUAACUCCAUGCAGAAAUAGUCUGUUACAAGUAAACUUCCCUUAGGCUUAUUGAACUAUUAACAUGGCAUAAAAAUAUUUCCUUCCUGUAGUCUCCAAAUGAAGUCUUCUUUGUGUGUGUAAUUUUUUUUUAUAUGUUUGGCUGUUUUCAAGGCUCCUGGAGAGUUGAAGUGCAACAUAUUUCAGAUAAGAGUGUCAUAAUGAGUGAAAUUUCAGACACAAGGAGUAAUCUCUUGUUUGUGUUAAUUGAAAUAUGUUAUUAUGAUUUUCUAAAUGAGCUUGUCAGCAUAGCAUUGACCUAUACAUUCUCCUGCUUCACUGGCAAUUACCACAAAGUAGACCAGCUGCUAUUUGUUAAUGUUAUCUGUAUCCAUUUACUUUUAUCUUACAGGGCUCAUUUGAGUUGAUAUUUCUCUCACUGCAACCAAUUUAAAUGGUGGUAUCGAUUUUCUCUUGUACGGCGUAUACGGUUAAAAUCGGGCCCACCCGAUUUUACUGUUUGACCGAGACCGGGACUUUGCAUCAAAGGAUGACUCCGAAGUGGAUCGAAUCGAGGCACGAAGACAAGGUACCAAGAUCGAGGCUGACAACAAUCGAGACCAAACGAGACAGACAUCGAGCAAUACCGAUGAUAGCAUAAUAAUGGAAAAGCGAGAUAUCCUCGACUGGUCGAAGAUCAUGGCGGAAAUUUCGGAACGGAUCGAAUCAAGAACAGUUGUUUAGUUAAUCAUGG
rnacentral:lncRNA from 1 species